AUUGAACGCUGGCGGCAUGCUUUACACAUGCAAGUCGAACGGUAACAGGGAGCUUGCUCCGCUGACGAGUGGCGAACGGGUGAGUAAUGCGUCGGAACGUGCCGAGUAGUGGGGGAUAACGCAGCGAAAGUUGUGCUAAUACCGAAUACGUACUGAGGUAGAAAGUGGGGGACCUUCGGGCCUCACGCUAUUCGAGCGGCCGACGUCUGAUUAGCUAGUAGGUGAGGUAAAGGCUCACCUAGGCGACGAUCAGUAGCGGGUCUGAGAGGAUGAACCGCCACACUGGGACUGGGACACGGCCCAGACUCCUACGGGAGGCAGCAGUGGGGAAUUUUGGACAAUGGGCGAAAGCCUGAUCCAGCCAUGCCGCGUGUCUGAAGAAGGCCUUCGGGUUGUAAAGGACUUUUGUCGGGGAGGAAAUCCCCAGCGCUAAUACCGCUGGGGGAUGACAGUACCUGAAGAAUAAGCACCGGCUAACUACGUGCCAGCAGCCGCGGUAAAAC
rnacentral:rRNA from 1 species